GAUAAUAGUAAAUUAUUUCACAAACAAGCAUAAUCCAUCUGAUCUCGGAAGCUAAGCAAGAUAGGGCCUGGUUAGUACUUGGAUGGGAGACCACCUAGGAAGACCAGGUGCUGUAGGCA
ensembl:rRNA 5S_rRNA 5S ribosomal RNA